rnacentral:lncRNA from 1 species
GCCCCGGUGGCGGAGCCGUCGCUAGCCGGGGUGCGCGGGGGCCGCGGCACGUGGCACGGCACCGGCGAGGCAACCUCCACCGCUCCCUGCGGACCGCCGAGAGCAUCCUGCCCCGUGCUAUCUGUUUAAUUACUCCAGCAAACGGAUUGUUCUCAACCGCAGCUGCAGUUGUCUUAAACCUCUCUUUUAUUUCUAAAAAUAGCCUUGCUCCAGCCCUUGGAAGGGUUCUGCUCUCGCGGCCCCCAUCGCCUCCCCGAGCCGCCAGCCCGAGGAGCUCGCCGCCUGCCCGGCCCGGCGAGGGCCCCGUCUUCGCCAGGUCAGACUUCAAAACCGGACACGGUGAUUGCACUAAGCAGGGCUCGUCCCUCGUCCCCUCGGCCUCCGCUGCAGCAUCGCUCUCCUGUUUUGCAUCUUAGGCGCCUGCAUGGCGUGUUUCUCCUCUCGCUGCGAAGGGCACGGGCACCUCUUGCCAUGCCCUCCCCUGCCGCCGGCACCUAC